rnacentral:rRNA from 1 species
UACGUAGGGUGCAAGCGUUAAUCGGAAUUACUGGGCGUAAAGCGUGCGCAGGCGGUUGUGCAAGACAGAUGUGAAAUCCCCGGGCUUAACCUGGGAAUUGCAUUUGUGACUGCACGGCUAGAGUGUGUCAGAGGGGGGUAGAAUUCCACGUGUAGCAGUGAAAUGCGUAGAGAUGUGGAGGAAUACCGAUGCGAAGGCAGCCCCCUGGGAUAACACUGACGCUCAUGCACGAAAGCGUGGGGAGCAAACAGG